rnacentral:lncRNA from 1 species
AACCAGAGUCACACAAUGAGACCCUGCCUCAAAACAACACAAGGCAGGCUUUGGAGGAGCACAUCUUUAAUCCAGCAGUUGGGAGGGAGAGGCAGACAGAUCUUUGAAUUUGAGGGCAGCCUGGUCUACACAGUGAGUUUUAGGACAGCCAGGGCUACACAGAGAAUCUUUUUCUGGAAAACAAACAAAAAACCCGCAAAAAACCGGAACAGCACAAAUCUCUUUGUAAAACCUCUAGGGAUAAGUUAAAUCUUGUCUGUUUUGACAUUAGUAGUUUUAUUAUUUGUUUUAGUCUUUAAAGAAUUGGAUUUAUUUUUAAGUGUAUUUUGUUUGUAAGCAUGUCUGGGUACCACAUGCUUCCUGGUGCCCUUCCAGGUAAAAAGAGAGAGUUGGCUCCCCUGGACCUUAGGGUCAGAUGGUUAGGAGCCACCGUGUAGGUGCUGGAGAUAGAAGGCCCUCUGCAAGAACAAGUUCUCCUUUUUAUUUCUUUUACUGAAAAUGACCUUUUUUCCUUCACAUAAUGUAUAUCCUGAUUAUGGGUUCCCUUUCUCCUCCCAGUCUCUCCCCAUCACCCCUUCCAUCUAGAACCACCUUUGUGUCUCGUUAGAAAAAAAAAAACAGGCUUCCAAGGGAUUGUGAUAUGAUAAGAUAAAACAAGAAUGGAAAAACAGAUAAGGCACAAGGAACAGAGAUCACUGGUUUGCACACUCAGGAAUCGUGGGGGGGAAAAAAACCCACUAAACUGGAAGCCAUAAAAUACAUGUAAAGGGCCUGGUGCAGCCCCGUGCAGGUCCUGUGCUUGUCUCCGGUCCUGUGAGCUGUGACCAUGCUGAUGCAGAGGCCUUGUUGUCCUCAUCCCGUCCAGCUCCUCCACUCUUGUCCCCUCUUUCUCAGGGUUCCCUGAUCCUGGGGAAAGAAUGAGACAUCCUGUUACAGAGCUGAGCACGAGUGCUUGGCUGCCCAGCCUCUCGGGCCCCAGCACUUAUAUGAAUCAAGCUGUACAAUUACGAUUCUGAUUUAAAGCCAGGAGGGUUGAAGGGUUUGGCUUUGUUUUUUGUUUGUUUGGUUUUUGUUUUACUACAUCCUUUUCUUAGAUGUUGAUUAAACAGUAGUAAGAAGGAACCUUGAGGUUUCAAGGCUGAAAAAUGAAGCUUUGUUCACACAGGGAGAAUUUUCUGACAGGACAUUAAUUUGUGAUAAUACUUGUGUUCCUCGUGUAAACCUGAAGUCAGUCAUGCUCAUGGCAGAACAUUUGGUAGUGUCUGUUGAGUAAUGACACUACCAAUGACUGACCCUGAGUCAGCCUUCAUGCCACUGCUGUGGUGUGAGGCAGAGGAGCACCUACCUGCCUGCUGGAUGGAAGGUGCUGGAUUCAGGCCCCUAAAAACAAAAAGCCUUGAGAAGCCGUGUAUAUCCUAUUGAUGUAGCAUUGUAACUAGAAGGAAUGAGUGUGUUUUUAUAAAUGGAGCCUGCAUUAUUAGUUUGUCAGUGUCUUGCUGUCAUUUAGCAUGUGUGGGUAUUUUGUAACUUUACAGACAUACAUGCAUACAUCAUAGGCGCAUGCAGCUGUCAGACCUCAAGUAGAGGUAAAACACACAGGAAAUGAUAAGAAGUAAAGUGGCCAUGCAGCCCACUUGUAAUGCCACCAGUUGGGGGCCUCAGGAGAUGAAUCAGGAGGUCAAGGAUGGUCUGGACUCUAGACCCUAUC